ACUAAUACUAGUCCAACCCAACUUAAACAAAAUUAAGCUAUUAUAAUAAAACAAAUCAUUCAGUUAACCCUUAAAAGUAUAGGUGAUAGAAAUUUUAAAUUUGGCACUAUAGAGAUAGUACCGCAAGGGAAAAAUGAAAGAACAAACCAAAGUACAAAAAAGCAAAGAUUACACCUUUUACCUUUUGCAUAAUGACUUAACCAGACCCCUAUUAGCAAAAAGAAUUUAAGUUAAUAUACCCGAAACCAGACGAGCUAUCCACGAGCAGCCCCACAGAGCAAACUCAUCUAUGUAGCAAAAUAGUGAGAAGACUUUUGGAUAGAGGUGAAAAGCCUACCGAGCCUGGUGAUAGCUGGUUAUCCAGAAAAAGAAUUUAAGUUCUAAUUUAAAUUUACCAAAAAAACACACAAUUUUAAUGUAAAUUUAAAGAAUAGUCUAAAAGGGUACAGCCUUUUAGACACAGGGAAACAACCUUAAAUAGAGAGUAACAAUAAAAAUUAAACCAUAGUUGGCCUAAAAGCAGCCAUCAAUUAAGAAAGCGUUCAAGCUCAACAACACCAAAUAAUAUAAUAUCAAUAAUAAUUAAAUAACUCCUAAACUUAUACUGGAUUAUUCUAUUAAUAUCAAUAGAAGAAAUACUGUUAACAUGAGUAAUAAGAAUUCCAUUCUCCCCGCAUAAGUGUAUAUCAGAACGAAUAAUUCGCUGAUAGUUAACAGACCAUUACAUAAUCAACAGAUAAAAUAUUAAUAAAGUAUACUGUUAACCCAACACAGGUAUGCCUUAAGGGAAAGAUUAAAAAAAGUAAAAGGAACUCGGCAAACACAAACCCCGCCUGUUUACCAAAAACAUCACCUCUAGCAUUUAUAGUAUUAGAGGCACUGCCUGCCCAGUGACAUUAGUUUAACGGCCGCGGUAUCCUGACCGUGCAAAGGUAGCAUAAUCACUUGUUCUCUAAAUAAGGACUAGUAUGAAUGGCCACACGAGGGUUUUACUGUCUCUUACUUUUAAUCAAUGAAAUUGACCUUCCCGUGAAGAGGCGGGAAUAUAUAAAUAAGACGAGAAGACCCUAUGGAGCUUUAAUUAAUUAAUUUAUAAGAAAAUAACUAAACAACCAUAAAGGAUCAACAUAAUUCUUAUAUAAAUUAACAAUUUAGGUUGGGGUGACCUCGGAAUACAAAACAACUUCCGAGUGAUUUUAAGCCUAGACUCACAAGUCAAAGCAACAUAAUCACUUAUUGAUCCAAAACUUUUUGAUCAACGGAACAAGUUACCCUAGGGAUAACAGCGCAAUCCUAUUUAAGAGUCCCUAUCGACAAUAGGGUUUACGACCUCGAUGUUGGAUCAGGACAUCCUAAUGGUGCAGCAGCUAUUAAUGGUUCGUUUGUUCAACGAUUAAAGUCCUACGUGAUCUGAGUUCAGACCGGAGUAAUCCAGGUCGGUUUCUAUCUAUUAUAUAUUUCUCCCAGUACGAAAGGACAAGAGAAAUAAGGCCUACUUCACAAAAGCGCCUUAAUAAUCAAUAGAUGAUAUAAUCUUAAUCUAUAACUAUAUAUAUAUAACUUCAACCCAAGGAACAGGGUUC
rnacentral:rRNA from 1 species